CAGGCAGAUUCUUUAUCAUUGCACCACCUGGGAAGCCCCUGUAUCAAAUUGAGAAAGCCUCAAUUUCUCUGUUUCUCCAAUACCCAUUGUGGCUCUGUGGUUCUUAAUUAAAUGUCUUCUUUAAGUAUUAGUCCAAGUCCUUAGUAUCUUCUUGCCUGGUUACCUGACAAUGUGUUUCACUUCACACAUUCACCCCUUCCACUCCUCCAGUCCCAGUUUCAAGCUUGGCCAUGUCUGCUGCUUAUUUGAUACCCUGGGACAAGUACAAUAUAUGGCUGAAUUCAUGUCAGUGACCUGCAGCACUCCCAGUUUAGAUUUUGGACUUCCCUGGUGAUUCAGUGGUUAAGAAUUUCCCUGCCAAUGCAGGGGACAUGGGUUCAAUCCCUGGUCCAGGAAGAGCCCACAGGCCACAGAGCCACGACGACUGAGCCCAUGCGCCCUCGAGCCCGUGCUCUGCAACGAGAGAAGCCACUGCAGUAAGAAGCCUGAGUACGCCAACUGGAGAGUAGUCCCUGCUCCCUGCAACUCGAGAAGGCCUGCACGCAUCAGUGAGGGCCCAGUGCAGCCAAAAAUAAAUACAAUUUAAGACUUCA